rnacentral:rRNA from 1 species
UGGGGAAUAUUGCACAAUGGGCGAAAGCCUGAUGCAGCAACGCCGCGUGAGUGAUGAAGGCCUUCGGGUUGUAAAGCUCUGUCUUUUGGGACGAUAAUGACGGUACCAAAGGAGGAAACCACGGCUAACUACGUGCCAGCAGCCGCGGUAAUACGUAGGUGGCAAGCGUUGUCCGGAUUUUACUGGGCGUAAAGGAUGCGUAGGCGGAUUUUUAAGUGAGAUGUGAAAACCCUAAGCUUAACUUGGGGACUGCAUUUCAUACUGGAAAUCUAGAGUGCGGGAGAGGAGAAUGGAAUUCCUAGUGUAGCGGUGAAAUGCGUAGAGAUUAGGAAGAACACCAGUGGCGAAGGCGAUUCUCUGGACCGUAACUGACGCUGAGGCAUGAAAGCGUGGGUAGCAAACAGGAUUAGAUACCCUGGUAGUCCACGCCGUAAACGAUGAGUACUAGGUGUAGGAGGUAUCGACCCCUUCUGUGCCGCAGUUAACACAAUAAGUACUCCGCCUGGGAAGUACGAUCGCAAGAUUAAAAACUUAAAUGAAUUGACGGGGUCAUAGCUGUUUCCU